UACGUAGGGUGCAAGCGUUAAUCGGAAUUACUGGGCGUAAAGCGUGCGCAGGCGGUUGUGCAAGACCGAUGUGAAAUCCCCGGGCUUAACCUGGGAAUGGCAUUGGUGACUGCACGGCUAGAGUGUGUCAGAGGGGGGUAGAAUUCCACGUGUAGCAGUGAAAUGCGUAGAGAUGUGGAGGAAUACCGAUGGCGAAGGCAGCCCCCUGGGAUAACACUGACGCUCAUGCACGAAAGCGUGGGGAGCAAACAGGAUUAGAACCUACCGAGU
rnacentral:rRNA from 1 species